UCUGGCUUAUAGCCAAGCGGUCUCGUUAGAGUGCCCAACUAAAUGAUGGUAACUAACGAUACGGGUUGCGCUCGUUGCGGGACUUAACCCAACAUCUCACAACACGAGCUGACGACAGCCAUGCAGCACCUGUCACCGGGUCCCCGAAGGGAACUCCUAGUUUCCUAGGAUAGCCCGGGAUGUCAAGUCUGGGUAAGGUUUUUCGCGUAGCAUCGAAUUAAACCACAUGCUCCACCGCUUGUGCGGGCCCCCGUCAAUUCCUUUGAGUUUUAAUCUUGCGACCGUAAUUCCCAGGCGGAUUACUUAAUGCGUUAGCUUCGUUACUGAAACAAUUAGGUAUUCCAACAACUAGUAAUCAUCGUUUAGGGCGUGGACUAC
rnacentral:misc_RNA from 1 species